rnacentral:pre_miRNA from 1 species
AGUGGGAUAACUUGGUCAAAUGGUGGUUCUAUUCCAUAUUUUCUGAGGAAUCUCCAUACUGCUUUCCAUAGUGGUUGGACCAGUUUGCGUUCCUACCAGCUAU